rnacentral:tRNA from 1 species
GGGAAUGGAUGAGUGCUGGUGUGCUCUCUGGACUUCAAAUCCAGUAGUGGGUAUGAAUAAUAUCCAUGGUGGGUUCGAUUCCCAUGCAUUCCC